rnacentral:rRNA from 1 species
GACGAACGCUGGCGGCGUGCUUAACACAUGCAAGUCGAACGGAAAGGCCCUGCUUUUGUGGGGUGCUCGAGUGGCGAACGGGUGAGUAACACGUGAGUAACCUGCCCUUGACUUUGGGAUAACUUCAGGAAACUGGGGCUAAUACCGGAUAGGAGCUCCUGCUGCAUGGUGGGGGUUGGAAAGUUUCGGCGGUUGGGGAUGGACUCGCGGCUUAUCAGCUUGUUGGUGGGGUAGUGGCUUACCAAGGCUUUGACGGGUAGCCGGCCUGAGAGGGUGACCGGCCACAUUGGGACUGAGAUACGGCCCAGACUCCUACGGGAGGCAGCAGUGGGGAAUAUUGCACAAUGAGCGGAAGCGUGAUGCAGCAACGCCGCGUGCGGGAUGACGGCCUUCGGGUUGUAAACCGCUUUCGCCUGUGACGAAGCGUGAGUGACGGUAAUGGGUAAAGAAGCACCGGCUAACUACGUG